rnacentral:rRNA from 1 species
UACGUAGGGUCCGAGCGUUGUCCGGAAUUAUUGGGCGUAAAGGGCUCGUAGGCGGUUCGUCACGUCGGGAGUGAAAACUCGGGGCCUAACCCCGAGCCUGCUUCCGAUACGGGCAGGACUAGAGGUAGGCAGGGGAGAGCGGAACUCCUGGUGUAGCGGUGGAAAUGCGCAGAUAUCAGGAAGAACACCCGUGGCGAAGGCGGCUCUCUGGGGACGGUACUGACGCUGAGACGCGAAAGCGUGGGGAGCGAACAGG